AUCUCCCAUGUCAUUCCACCCAUC
rnacentral:siRNA from 1 species